rnacentral:lncRNA from 1 species
AAUCAGCCCCUUACGAAGCAACGCAUAAACAAGGGUUUAAGCUUCUGCCACUCUAGCAACCCAUCAUCUACUUAUUACUUCCCAAUGCCUUCCCCUAGGCCCAAACAAUGGUGAAGUGUCAUCUAGUCGACGUUCACAUAACACCACUAGAGGAAAGACAACAUACAUCUCAUCAAAAUAUCGAACGAAUAUAGUCAAAAAAAUAUCGAACGAAUACCAAAUUCACAUAAUUACUUAUAACAAGACUUCUCUCAUGUCCUCGGGAACAAACGUAACUACUCACAAAGCAUAUAUAUAAUCAUAAUCAGAGGAGUAUUAAUUAUCAUUAAGGAUCUGAAAAUAUAAUCUUCCAUUGGAUAAACCAACUAGCAUCAACUAUAAGGAGUAACCAACACUACUAGUAACCCACAUGUAGCAAUCUGAGGUUUUGGGACCAAGAUCGAAUACAAGAGAUGAACUAGGGUUUGAGAGGAGAUGGUGCUAGUGAAGAUGUUGAUGGAGAUUGACCCCCUCUUGAUGAGAGGAUCGUUGGUGAUGACGAUGGCUUCGAUUUCCCCCUCUCGGAGGGAUGUUUCCCCGGCAGAACAGCUCCGCCAGAGCCCUAGACUGGUUUUGCCCACGUUCUGCCUCGAGACGGAGACGCUUCGUCCUGAAAGCUUCCUUCUAGUUUUUUCCAGGUCAAAACACACCAUAUAGCCAAUGAUGGUCACCAGAGGUUUGCCAGGGGCCCACAAGGUCGGGGGGCCGCCCAGGGGGGUAGGGCGCGCCCUCCACCCUUGUGGCUGUCUGGUGGCCCCCCUCUGGUACUUUAUUCACCCAAUAUUUUUUAUAUAUUCCAAAAACAUGCUCCGUGAAGUUUCAGGACUUUUGGAGUUGUGCAGAAUAGGUCUCUAAUAUUUGCUCCUUUUCUAGUCCAGAAUUCCAGCUGCCGGCAUUCUCCCUCUUCAUGUAAACCUUAUAAAAUAAGAGAUAAAAAGGCAUAAGUAUUGUGAUAUAAUUUGUAAUAACAGCCCAUAAUGCAACAAAUAUCAAUAUAAAAGCAUGAUGCAAAAUGGACGUAUCAACUCCCCCAAGAUUAGACCUCGCUUGUCCUCAAACGAAAGCCAAAAUCGAAAUGUCCACAUGUAUUGAGAUAGAGGUGUCGACAAAAUAAAAUACGGACAUGGGGGCAUCCUGAUCAUCUUUAGAAUAGCAACAUAUAUUGUCAUCUAAUUUCUAAUGCUAAAGUAACAAUUCGUUCACAAAGUAAAGUAUGAAUCAGAAACUUAAUUGAAAACUAACAAACUAUGAUCUCAAUCAUUGGAACAAUUGCAAUUUAUCAUAACAUUGGAAAGAGUCAAUUAAAGAGCUUUUCAACAAGUCCACAUACUCAACUAUCAUAUAAUCUUUCACAAUUGCUAACACUCACGCGAUACUUAUGGGUACAAAGUUUCAAUCGGACACGGAGAAAGAUAGGGGCUUGUAGUUUCUCCUCCCAACUUCUUUCCUCAAGGGUAAUGUCAACAACAAUACUUUAUGAAAACCUACAUCUGAGUGGAUAUAUAUAUCCAGAUCUCUCCAACAUAUAGUGGUUGCCAAGGGAAAAGGUAUAAAAAAGAAAAGUGAUGAUCACCAUGACUCUUGUAUAAGGGUAGAAGAUAAAGUAAAAGGUAGGCCCUUCGCAGAGGGAAUCAGAGGUUGUCAUGCGCUUUUAUGGUUGGAUGCACAAAAUAUUAAUGCAAAAGAAUGCCACUUUAUAUUGCCGCUUGUGAUAAGGACCUUUAUUAUGUAGUCCGUUGCUUUUAUUUCUUCCAUAUCACAAGUUCGUAUAAAUCUUAUUUUCUUCACACUAAUAAAUCAUACAUAUUUAGAGAGCAAUUUUUAUUGCUUGCACCGAUGACAACUUACUUGAAAGAUCGCACUCUAUCCAUAGGUAGGUAUGUGGUGGACUCUCAUGGGAAAACUGGGUUUAGGGAUGUUUGGAAGCACAAGUAGUAUGAGAGGGAAAUGCAAGCCCAACAUGUUGGAUGAUCCAUGACAAUAUAACUUCUAUUCGGAUAUAAGCAAACAUAACCUAUUAUGUUGUCUUCCUUGUCCAACAUCAACCUUUUAGCAUGUCAUAAGUGCUCAAAAUUACAAAAGAUGUCCAAGAUAGUAUAUUUAUAUGUGAAACCUCUCUUUCUUUAUUACUUCCUAUUAAUUGCAACAAUGACCAAAACUAUGUUUGUCAACUCUCAACAACUUUUAUUCAUCGUACUCUUUAUAUGUGAAGUCAUUACUCUCCAUAAGAUCAAUAUAUGAUCUUUUUAUUUCUUUUUGUUCUUUCUCCUAUUUAAUUCCCUCAAGAUCAUAGCAAGAAAGCAAAGCCCUUAACUCAAAACUACUCUUUAUUAUAUAUAUCCCAAGGACUCGAUUACAUAGAGGGAACAUAAAAAAAAACUCAAUGCUAGAUCAUACUAAAAACUUUAUUCUACUAGAUCAAGAUAUAACCAAAAGGAUCAAACUACGAAAAACGAUAAAGAUAAAGAUGUGAUGGUGAUACUAUACCGGGGCAAUCCCCCAAGCUUGGCAGUUGCCAAGGGGAGUGCCCAUACCAAUGUGUUUAGAUCUCUUUCUUCGGAGGUGGUGAUGAUGGAGUUGUUGCAUUUUUCUUCUCUAGCUUGCGUCUGAGGCUAAAAUUUUCCUCCCUCAGAUCCCCAUUCUCGAGCACGAGUUUCAUUAUAUUUUUGCAUAAUGCCGCCUUGUUGUCCUACAAAAAACAUGGUGGAAUAGAUUGGACCUUAGGGAGGCUUGACUUCUUGAACUCCACAUGCAUAUCGCCAGGGUGAGGUGGUGGAUCCUCCUUUUCAUUGGAGCUUGUCUCCUCCUUCCCCUUUGGAUCAUAGUCUUCUUCUUCGUCCAUUGUCCAGCCAUUGAUGGUAGCUGAAAUUAUGCCGGUAUUUCCCUUGAGAGGGAGGGAUGAUGUAGCACAGCGACGGUAGGUAUUUCCCUCAGUUAUGAAACCAAGGUAUCGAACCAGUAGGAGAACCAAGCAACACAACAUAAAUAGCACCUGCACACAAAUAACAACACCUCGCAAACCGACGAGUUAAAGGGGUACGGAACCUCAAGAUAGGCAAGCGGGCAUGAGGGAAAUUGUAGUAGAUUGAUAGAUCGAACGCCAAAUAAAAUAAAUAAAGAUAAAAUGCAGCAAGGUAUUUUUGUAUUUUUUUUGUUUAAUAGAUCUAAAUAAAAAUGCAAAGGAAAAUUAGAUCGCAAGGCAAAUAUAUGAGAAAGAAGACCUGGGGGCCGUAGGUUUCACUAGUGGCUUCUCUCGAGAAAAAAAGCAAACGGUGGGUAAACAAAUUACUGUUGGGAAAUUGAUAGAACUUCGAAUAAUUAUGAUGAUAUCCAGGCAAUGAUCAUUACAUAGGCAUCACGUCCAAGAUUAGUAGACCGACUCCUGCCUGCAUCUACUACUAUUACUCCAGACAUCGACCCCUAUCCAGCAUGCAUCUAGUGUAUUAAGUUCAUGGAAAAACGGAGUAAUGAAAUAAGAACGAUGACAUGAUCUAUACAAGACCCGUUUACCUAUAUGACGGUAAAUAUAGAUCUCGUCUUUUAUCCUUAGUAGCAACGAUACGUAUGUGUCGUUUCCCUUUCUAUCACUGGGAUCGAGCACCGUAAGAUCGAACCCACUACCGGACACCUCUUUACAUUGCAAGAUAAAUAGGUCAAGUUGGCCAAACAAAACCCAAAUAUCAGAGAAGAAAUACGAGGCUAUAAGAGAUCAUGCAUAUAAGAGACCAAAGAAACUCAAAUAACUUUCAUGGAUAUAAAAAGAUAUGACUAAUCAUAAACUCGAAGUUCAUCAGAUCCGAAUAAACACACCGCAAAAGAGUUACAUCAUAUGGAUCUCCAAGAGACCAUUGUAUUGAGAAUUCAGCGAGAUAGAGAGAAACCCAUCUAGCUACUAACUACGGACCUGAAGGUCUACAAGGAACUACUCACGCAUCGUUGGAGAGGCACCAAUGGAAGUGGUGAACCCCUCCGUGAUGGUGUCUAGAUUGGAUCUAGUGGUUCUGGACUCUGCGGCGGCUGGAUGAAUAUUUCGUCGACGCUUCUAGGGUUUCUGGAAUAUUGUGGUAUUUAUAGAGAAAAGAGGCGGUCCGGGGGGCACUCAAGGUGGGCACAACCCACCAGGGCCCUGGCGUGCCCUGGUGGGUUGUCCCCUCCUUAGGACUCCCCCCAGGUGCAACCAGGGCUCAUCUGCUUCCUUUUGGCCCAUAAAAAAUCAUCGUGAAGUUUCAUGGCAAUUGGAUUUUGUUUGAUAUUGAUUUCCUGCGAUGUAAAAAACAAGGAAAAACAGCAACUGGCACUUGGCACUAUGUCAAUAGGUUAGUACCAAAAGAUGAUAUAAAAUGACUAUAAAAUGAUUAAAAAACAUCCAGUAUUGAAAAUAAAACAGCAUGGAACAAUCAAAAAUGAUAGAUACGUUGGAGACGUAUCAGCAUCCCCAAGCUCAACUCCUACUCGUCCUCGAGUAGGUAAGUGAUAAAAACAGAAUUUUGAUGUGGAGUGUUGUUCAUCAAGUCAUAUCAUAUUCUUUUCUUUAUAGCAUGGACAUUUGGACUUUUAUGUGAUUCAAAGCAAUAGUCUAGUUUUGACAUGAUAAUUUAGAUACUCAAGCAUAUCAACAAGCAACCAUGUCUUUCAAGAUAUCAAUGCUAAAACAAGGUAUCCCGAGCCUAUCAUGCUCAAACAUUGAUCCAUUCAUGAAACACACUCGAAUAUUAACUACACCCAAUACUUGACCACGAUCAUAUUGCCUCAUAGUUGGUGCUUUUUAUGAGAAAAGAUGGAGACUCAAAUUUCAAAAUAAAAAUUGCAUAAAGUAAAAGAAAGGCCCUUCGCAGAGGGAAGUAGGGAUUUGUAGAGGUGCCAGAGCCCAAAGCGAAAGAUUAGAGAUAAAAACAUUUUGGAAGGUGUAUCCAUCCCACAAAUGAAAACGACUUAGAGUUCCCAGCACUUUCUAUGCCAGAUAUGCCAUAGGCGGUUCCCAAACAGCAAAUAAACUUUAUUCCUUUUUCCACCAUUCUUUCACUUUCCAUGGCUAGCCGUAUCCACGGGUGCCCUCCAUACCAACACUUUCCAAGGAAUUUAUUAUUUGGCAACAUAAAGUAAAUUCAAUCUUUUUGCAUUUCGGGACUGGGCAUCCCUAAGACCUUUGCCUUACUCUCGUGCAAUUACAAGCAAAUAAACACUCAUCUUGAGAAUAACACAUCUAGCAUGGAAAAUAUUAGCCACCCAUUACUGUUCCGCGAGCAAAACAAACACACAAAAGAGAAGUUUAUUUUGAAAAUUAGAGAUGAUACAUGUGAAUUUGCUUAGAACGGCAAAAUAAUACCGCAUAUAGGUAGGUAUAGUGGACUCAUGUGGCAAAACUGGUUUAAAGGAUUUUAGCACAAGUAAAGAUCAUACUUGGUGCAAAAUGAAGGCUAGCAAAAGAUUGGGAAGCAACCAACCAAGAAACAAAUAAUUUCAUAAGCAAGCAUUAAGCAUAAUUAACACUGAAUAAUGCACCAUAAGUAGGGUAUAAUUUUCAUUGCAUGAUUAUUGGCUUUCUUCCAUGCAUAGGGAGUCACAAACCUUAACACCAAUAUUCCUACUAGAGCACAAUUACUCAUCAACAUAACUCACAUAUCACAUCAUCAUAUCUCAAAACUAUUACUAAGAAUCAAGUUUAUUUUGUCCAAUGAUAUUAAUGACAUUUUCUUUUACUUUAUCCUUCUUGGAUAUCUAUCACUUUGGAGUAAUUUUCAUGUGUUGCUUUUCAUAAGCUCAAACAAAUAUAAGUGAAGAUCAUGAGCAUAACAAAUUUUCUUUCUCUUAAAAUAAUUUAAGUGAAGCAAGAGAGCAUUUCUUCGAAAUUUUACCUAAUCUCAAAUAAAUCUAAGUGAAGCAAGAGAGCAUUUCUUCAAAAAUAACAAGGCACACCAUGCUAAAAAAAUAUAAGUGAAGCACUAGAGCAAGUCCUAGCUCAUAAAAGAUUUAAGUGAAGCAUGGAGAUCAAUUCUAACAAGUCGUGAUAUAAUUUUUGGCUCUCUCAAAUAGGUGUGUCCAGCAAGGAUUGAUGACUUCAAACACAAAAUAAAACAAGCAAAGACACAUAUCAUACAAGACGCUCCUAGCAAAACACAUAUCAUGUGACGAAUAAAAAUAUAGUCUCGAGUAAAAUACGGAUAGUUGUUGGAAGAAAGCGGGGAUGCCACUCGGGGGCAUCCCCAAGCUUAGUUGGUUGCUCAUUACUGGAUAAUAGCUUGGGAUGCCGGGGCAUCCCCAAGCUUAGGCUCUUACAUCAUUUCUUCAUCCAUCGUAAGAUAACCCAAAACUUGAAAACUUCAAUCACACAAAACUCAACAAAGCCCUUGUGAGAUCCGUUAGUAUAAGAAUAAUAAAUCACUACUAUAAGUGAUGUAUCAAACCAAUUCAUAUUUUGUUUUUGUAUUAUAUCUACUGUAUUACAACUUUUCUAUGGAAAAAACUCAUCAAAGAAAACCAUAGAGCCAUCAAAAUAAGCACACAACACAAAGAAAACAGAAUCUGUUAAAACAGAACAGUAUGUAGCAAUCCGACUAUUUCGAAUACAUCUGGAACUCAAAAAACUCUUAAAAAUUAGGAUGUCGUGAGAAAUUUGUAUAUUGAUCUACUGAAAUUGGAAUGGAUAUUUUAUCGCUCUCUGGUAAAACAUGAAAAUUAAUUUUGUGAGCGUAAAAGUUUCUAUUUUUCAGCAAGAUCAAACAACUAUCACCCAAGAAGAUCCUAAAGCCUUUACUUGGCACAAACACUAGUUAAAACAUAAAAAACACAAUCAUAACAGUAGCAUAAUUGUGCUAACACUCAAGAACAUAAAGAAAAAAAGCAAAAAUAAAUUUUAUUCAUUGGGUUGCCUCUCAACAAGCGCUAUAGUUUUACGCCCUUAGCUAGGCAUAAGAUUUCAACGAUGCUCACACAAAAGAUAAUAAUUGAAACACAAAGAGAGCAUCAUGAAACAUGUGACAAACACAUUUAAGCCUAACAUACUUCCUAUGCAUAGUAAUUUUAUAAGAAAACAAAGUAUCAUGACAAGAAACAUCUAACAUAUGCAAAGAAGAGGAAAACAUUGACGAUCUUAACAUAACAAGAGGUAAUUUAGUAACAUGAAAAUUUCUACGACCAUAUUUUCCUCUAUCAUAAUAAUUACAUGUAGGAUCAUACUCAAAUUCAACAAUAUAACUAUCAUAUAAAAAUUUCUCUUCAUGAUCCACAGGCAUGCAAAGUUGACACUCUUCCAAAAUAGUGGGACUAUCAUUAAAUAAAGUCAUGACCUCUCCAAGCCCACUUUUAUCAAAAAUUUCAUAAGAUUGAUCACUCUCCAAAAAAGUGGGAUUAUUUUUAGCUAAAUUUGAGAAUCUACCAAACCCACUUUAAAUAUUAUAGCAAGCAUAUUCAUCGUGAGGUUUAAAUAAAUUUUCAAGAUCAUAAGAAGAAUCACCCCAAUCAUAAUCAUUGCAAUAAGUAGUGGACAUAUGAAAAUUAGCAUCCCCAAUCUUGGGGUUUUGCAUAUUAUUAGAACAAUUGACAUUAAUAGAAAUUAUAGUAAAAUUAUUGCAAUCAUGCUUUUCAUUCAAGGAGCUAUCAUGAAUCACUUCAUAAAUUUCUUCAUCUCAAAUUUCAGAUUCACGAUUCUCAAGCAAAAAUUCAUAAAGAUAGUUUAGUGCACUCAACUCACUAGCAAUUGGUUCAUCAUGAUUGGAUCUUUUAAAAAGAUUAGCAAGUGCACGGGGAUCCAUAUCAAUAGAUUUUUAGCAAGUGAAGAUGCAAGCACAUAGAAGGCACAUGGCAACACAAGCAAACAAAAGAUCGGACGAUAAAAAGGCGAAUGAAAAAGAGGGCGAAUAAAACGGAAAAUUUUUGUGAAGUGGGGGAGAGGAAAACGAGAGGCAAUUGGCAAAUAAUGUAAAUUGCGAGGAGAUGAGAUUUGUGAUUAGGAACCUGGUUAUGAUGAAGAUCCUCCCCGGCAACGGCGCCAGAAAGGCACGUGGCCGGGAGACUAUCUUGACUUGAUCCUCCCCGGCAACGGUGCCAAAAAAUUUCCUUGAUGGUAGCAGAAACUAUGUUGGCAUUUCCCCGGAGAGGAGGGAUGAUGUAGCACAGCGAUAGUAGGUAUUUCCCUUAGUUAUGAAACCAAGGUAUCGAACCAGUAGGAGAACCAAGCAACACAAUGUAAACAACAACUGCACACAAACAACAACACCUCGCAACCCGACGAGUUAAAGGGGUUGUCAAUCCCUUUCGGGGUACGUCGCCUCAAGAUAGGCAAGCAGAAGUGAGGUAAAUUGUAGUAGAUUGAUAGAUCGAACGCUAAAUAAAAUAAAUAAAGAUAAAAUGCAGCAAGGUAUUUUUGUAUUUUUUUGGUUUAAUAGAUCUGAAUAAAAAUGCAAAGGAAAAGUAGAUCGCAAGGCAAAUAUAUGAGAAAGAAGACCCGGGGCCGUAGGUUUCACUAGUGGCUUCUCUCGAGAAAAAAAAGCAAACGAUGGGUAAACAAAUUAUUGUUGGGAAAUUGAUAGAACUUCAAAAAAUUAUGACGAUAUCCAGGCAAUGAUCAUUACAUAGGCAUCAUGCCAAGAUUAGAAGAUCGACUCCAGCCUACAUCUACUAUAUUACUCCACACAUCGACCGCUAUCCAGCAUGCAUCUAGUGUAUUAAGUUCAUGGAAAAUAGAGUAAUACAAUAAGAACGAUGACAUGAUGUAGACAAGAUCUGUUUAUCUAUAUGGCGGUAGAUAUAGAUCUCAUUUGUUUAUCCUUAGUAGCAAUGAUACGUACAUGUCGUUUCCCUUUCUAUCACUAGAAUCGAGCACCGUAAGAUCGAACCCACUAUUGGGCACCUCUUCCCAUUGCAAGAUAAAUAGAUCAAGUUGGCCAAACAAAACACAAAUAUCGGAGAAGAACUACGAGGCUAUAAGAGAUCAUGCAUAUAAGAGAUCAAAGAAACUCAAAUAACUUUCAUGGAUAUAAAAAGAUAUGACUGAUCAUAAACUCGAAGUUCAUCAGAUCCCAACAAACACACUACAAAAGAGUUACAUCAUAUGGAUCUCUAAGAGACCAUUGUAUUGAGAAUUCAACGAGAGAGAGAGAGAGAGAGAAAUCCAUCUAGCUACUAACUACGGACCCGAAGGUCUACAAGGAACUACUCACGCAUCAUCGGAGAGGCACCAAUGGAAGUGGUGAACCCCUCCGUGAUGGUGUCUAGAUUGGAUCUGGUGCUUCUGGACUCUGCGGCAGCUGGAUGAAUAUUUCAUCGAGCUUCUAGGGUUUCUGGAAUAUUGUGGUAUUUAUUGAGCAAAGAGGCGAUCCGGGGGACACCCGAGGUGGGCAUAUCCCACCAGGGCGCGCCAGGGCCUCCUGGCACGCCCUAGUGGGUUGCCCCUUCCUUUUGGCCCAUAAAAAGUCAUCGUGAAGUUUCGUGGCAUUUGGACUUCGUUUGAUAUUAAUUUCCUGUGAUGUAAAAAACAUGAAAAAACAAUAACUGGCACUUGGCACUGGCACUUGGCACUAUGUCAAUAGGUUAGUACCAAAAAAUGAUAUAAAAUGACUAUAAAAUGAUUAUAAAACAUCCAAGAGUGAUGAUAAAACAGCAUGGAACAAUCAAAAAUUGUAGAUACAUUGGAGAUGCAUUAGCCAUAAUGUUCCACAUGAAGGAAAUAUGCCCUACAGGCAAUAAUAAAGUUAUUAUUUAUUUCCUUAUAUCAUGAUAAAUGUUUAUUAUUCAUGCUAGAAUUGUAUUAACCGGAAACAUAAUACAUGUGUGAAUACAUAGACAAACAGAGUGUCACUAGUAUGCCUCUACUUGACUAGCUCGUUGAUCAAAGAUGGUUAAGUUUCCUAACCAUUGACAAGGUUGUCAUUUGAUUAACAGGAUCACAUCAUUAGGAGAAUGAUGUGAUUGACUUGACCCAUUCCGUUAGCUUAGCACUCGAUCGUUUAGUAUGUUGAUAUUGCUUUCUUCAUGACUUAUACAUGUUCCUAUGACUAUGAGAUUAUGCAACUCCCGUUUACCGGAGGAACACUUUGUGUGCUACCAAACGUCACAACGUAACUAGGUGAUUGUAAAGGUGCUCUACAGGUGUCUCCGAAGGUACUUGUUGGGUUGUCGUAUUUCGAGAUUAGGAUUUGUCACUCCGAUUGUCGGAGAGGUAUCUCUGGGCCCUCUCGGUAAUGCACAUUACUUAAGCCUUGCAAGCAUUGCAACUAAUGAGUUAGUUGCGGGAUGAUGUAUUGUGGAACGAGUAAAGACACUUGCCGGUAACGAGAUUGAACUAGGUAUUGAGAUACCAAUGAUCGAAUAUCUGGCAAGUAACAUACCGAUGACAAAAGGGAACAACGUAUGUUUUUAUGCGGUCUGACCGAUAAAGAUCUUCAUAGAAUAUGUGGGAGCCAAUAUGAGCAUCCAGGUUCUGCUAUUGGUUAUUGACCGGAGAUGUGUCUCGGUCAUGUCUACAUAGUUCUCGAACCCGUAGGGUCCGCACGCUUAACGUUUCGAUGACAGUUAUAUUAUGAGUUUAUAUGUUAUGAUGUACCGAAGGUUGUUCGGAGUCCCAGAUGUGAUCACGGACAUGACGAGGAGUCUCGAAAUGGUCGAGACAUGAAUAUCGAUAUAUUGGAAGCCUAUGUUUGGAUAUCGGAAGUUUUCCGGGUGAAAUCGGGAUUUUACCGGAGUACCGGGAGGUUACCGGAACCCCCCGGGGCUUGAUGGGCCAUAGUGGGCCUUGUGGAGAAGAGGAGAAGCGGCCAGGGAAGGGCCGCACGCCCCUCCCCCUAGUCCGAAUAGGACAAGGAGAGGGGGGCGGUGCCCCCCUUUCCUUCCUCUCUCCCUCCUCUUUCCCCCUCCACUCCUAGUCCAACAAGGAAAAGGGAGGGAGUCCUACUCCCGGUAGGAGUAGGAAUCCUCCUGGCGUGCCCCCUCUAGGACGGCUGCACCUCCCCCCUUGCUCCUUUAUAUAGGGGGGCAGGGGGCACCCUAGAGACAACAAUUGAUCGUUUGAUCUUUUAGCCGUGUGCGGUGCCCCCCUCCACCAUAGUCCACCUCGGUAAUACUGUAGCGGUGGUUAGGCGAAGCCCUGCGUCAGUAGAACAUUAUCAUUGUCACCAUGCCGUCAUGCUGACGAAACUCUCCCUCAACACUCGGCUGGAUCGGAGUUCGAGGGUCGUCAUCGGGCUGAACGUGUGCUGAACUCGGAGGUGUCAUGCGUUUGGUACUUGAUCGGUCGGAUCAUGAAGACGUACGACUACAUCAACCGCGUUGUGCUAACGCUUCCGCUUUCGGUCUACGAGGGUACGUGGACAACACUCUCGCCUCUCGUUGCUAUGCAUCACCAUGAUCUUGCGUGUGCGUAGGAAUUUUUUUGAAAUUACUACGUUCCCCAGCACCACAUCCCCAAACACUUUUGGGUUUGUGACAUAAUCGGCCAUGUAGCUCUAUCCCUUUGAAUCUCGGGACGACAUCUUGCUCCAAAUCUGCUACAGAAACAACUCAAAAUGAAAAUAGAGGAUUUUAUCGUGGUACGGUGGUCAAAACCUUCGGAAGAUUAUAUAAUGAAUUUUUACCGACCAAAAGAAGUAUCGUGCAAGAAAACAGAGUUCGGAGGGUACACGAGGUGGCCAGAAGGACGGGGGGCGCGCCCUCCACCCUUGCAACUGCCUCGUGUCUCUUUUGGACUACUUUUAAUUUUCCUAAUUUUUUAAAUAUUCCAAACGGAGAAAAUUUAUCAUUGGAAACGUUUUGGAGUUGGUUUACUUACCGCACCACAAAGCUAUUCCUUUUCGGAGUAUGAAACAUUCUGGAAAGUGUCCCUUAUGUACUCCUCCGGGGUUACGUUAUCAAUUAUAUUGGUUUCAACAUUUAUGGGAGUACCUGUGAUAUAAUGUUUAAUUCUUUGACGAUUUACCACCUUUGGAUUUGUGCCUUCAGCAUUGUUGAUAUUUAUGGCACCGGAACGAUAGACCUCCUCGAUAAUGUAAGGGCCUUCCCAUUUACAGAGAAGCUGUCCUGCAAAGAAUCUUAAAUGAGAGUUGUAUAGCAAAACAUAAUCACCUACAUUAAACUCACAGUUUUGUAUCCUUUUAUCAUAGCAUCUUUUAACUUUUUCUUUAAACAACUUGGCAUUCUCAUAGGCUUGAGUUCUCCAUUCAUCAAGUGAGCUAAUGUCAAAUAACCUCUUCUCACCAGCAAGUUUGAAAUCAUAGUUGAGCUCUUUAAUAGCCCAAUAUGCCUUACGUUCUAGCUCAAGAGGUAAGUAACAUGGUUUUCCAUAAACCAUUUUAUACGGAGACAUACCCAUAGGAUUCUUAUAAGCAGUUAUAUAAGCCCAUAAUGCAUUAUCAAAUUUCUUAGACCAAUUAUUUCUAUAUCUAUUAACAGUCUUUUGCAAAAUUAAUUUAAUCUCUCUAUUGCUCAAUUCUACUUGACCACUAGACUGAGGAUGAUAUGGAGAUACAAUUCUAUGGUUAACAUCAUACUUAGCGAGCAUUUUACGGAAAGCACCAUGAAUAAAAUGUGAACCACCAUCAGUCAUUAAAUAUCUUGGGACUCCAACCCUCGAAAAACUAACUUCUUUAAGCAUCUUAAUAGAAGUGUUAUGAUCAACAGUACUAGUUGGAAUAGCUUCUACCCACUUAGUAACAUAAUCAACGGCAACUAAACUAUGUGUAUACCUGUUAGAGGAAGGAAAAGGUCCCAUAUAAUCAAAGCCCCAAACAUCAAAUGGUUCAAUAACAAGUGAAGAGUUCAUAGGCAUUUCCUGACGUCUACUAAUAUUACCAAUUCUUUGACAUUGAUCACAAGACAAGACAAACUUACGAGCAUUCUUGAAGAGAGUAGGCCAAUAGAAACCAGAUUGAAAUACCAUAUGUGCAGUUCUAUCUCCAGCGUGGUGUCCUCCGUAAGACUCGGAGUGGCACUUGUGUAGGAUCUGUUCCUGUUAAUGCUCAGGUACACAACGUAUAAUAACACCAUCUACCCCUUCUUUAUAAAGGUGUGGGUCAUCCUAGAAGUAAUGUCUUAAAUCAUAGAAAAACCUUUUCUUUUGCUGAUAGGUGAAACUAGGUGGUAUAAAUUUAGAACAGUAUAAUUAGGAUAAUCAGCAUACCAUGAAGUAUAAUGAGAAGCAUUUAUGACAUUUAAUUGUUCAUGAGGAAAACUGUCAUCAAUAGGCAGUGGGUCAUCAAGAACGUUUUCUGUAAAAUCCCAAAUUUUCAAUUUGGAAUGUUAUACAUAGGUCAUUCAUGCAUAUCAUAUUUUUAUUGCAUUUCACUUUGCGAUCCUCCAAAUUCUAAGCAACUCAAGGACCCAUGGAGAGAGUUGGGGAUUUCACGUUUUUCAUAUUUGAUUUUUAUCAAAUAUCGAAACAAGGAUCACUUUGGUUUUUAAUUAUUUUUCUCUCCGAAAAUAUUUCAUAUUAAAAUAUAAGAGAGGAGAUAAUAUGACUUCUCCAAAAUAAAGGGAAUAUUGGAGGAAAAAUAUUAAAAAUCAAAUAAAUGUUUUCUUUUGGACUUUUAUUGCUAUUUUAUUUGAAUUAGGAAAAUAUGUGUUUUUCAAAAUUGCAUUAGAGGCCCAAAUAAAUGUUCACUUUGUCUGCAAUACUAUUAGAGGACCGUGAAAGAUUAUUUUAGGAUUUUUGGACUCCGUUUAGUAUUUCUUUUAUUUGUUUUUCCGCGUUAGGAUUUUUUUAAAUGCUCUGACCUAAUGGGCUGUGCCCGACCCGGACAACGCCCGGCCGGCUUUUAAAGGGCGAGACUCGAAGCCCGCAGCGCCGCCAGCCCCGCCCCAAAACAGUGCCACCGCCUCAAAAACCCCGCCAUCACCGCCGCCACCCGCCCACCAGAGCCGCCGCCGAUCCCGCCGCCGCCGCCACUCGCCGUCGGUAGAAACCACUGCCCCCACCGUCUUGGUUUUUCUCAGAAAACCGAUCUGUUUUUUUAAUAAACCCUAGAUUCGUUUUUUAUUACAUCGGUUUGGUUUUUUUGUUUUAGUUAAAUAACGGACGAUUGUCCGUACGUUCAUUUUAACGAACGCUAUUCGUUAGUUAGCCAUAGACAGCGAACGUUCGUUCGUUAGCCUAUUCGUCUCGUUUUUUUCCAGGGUUUUUCCAUGAUUAUUUUCGAUCGCGAUUUCUGCCCUAAUCUUCAUUCUUGUAUAUCUUCUCACUCAUUUAUACAAAUCAGAUGAAACAAGCACCUAGAUCUUUGUCUCGAAGUCCUCUUUCUGUUUAACCAACUUGAAAAAGAUUUUGGUACUGUAAAAUUUGACUUUACUCUAGAUCUUGUUUCUUUCAUAGUUUGAGUUUCGGUUGCUCCGUUUGAUUUGAUUCUUUUUGCAAAAUCGAAUCUUUUCAGUCGAGUUUUCAGAUUCGAUCAUCUUAUUUGAGUUUUACUUGUGCAUCUUUGCUUGGGUGAUUAUGUAUGCUAUUGCUUGUUUGCGAUAGAAUUCCCGAAGUGCGAAGCGUGCUUCUACGAGUCUCUAGGUUUUGCGGAUCAUCAGCAAGGCAAGUAACACUUUGAUCGUACCCCUUUAUUACCCAGUUUUUAUGCAUUAGUUUCAACCCUCACACAUUACAUGAGUAGGAUCUCUUAACAUGUGGGUCUAAGAAGUAGCUGAUGAGGUAGAACCUAUUACCUAUUUUAUUAUCAAACCCUUGGGAGUUACUUCUACGCUAUGCUUAUAUUGCCAUGCUUGCCCCUAGACGUGGUUUGGGUUUGAGUGUAACCAUGACAGAUGAGAGUUGUUAAUUAAUGGUUCAACUUAAGGUGGCAACUUUAAUACAUAUCUGGGUGGAUUGCUUGUGGGAACCUGGAGAAUCCAGUGUUGUCGUAGGAUAACUCGGAGUACCCGUGUGAUCAUCCUACGGUCCACCACCCAGUCUCAAAGGGAUCAUAAGAUUAUUCAUGCUAGAAACUUCCGUGUGCAGCCACAAGCCAUUAUGGGCUCUGACAUAGUUGAGUAUGUUGCGUGACCUCUUUCAGUGGUGGGCUAGCAGAUGUAGGGGAAAGUAGGUGUAACAGUUCACCCAGGGUAAAGAGUUAAUGCUUCUGAAAGAGUGUGUCUCGGUCAUCCGUUUCUCAAACACCAUGUAGUGUGGGAAAUCAUACGGAGGAGAUCGAGUCUUGUGGGGAAAAGUGCGCAAACCUCUGCAGAGUGUAUAAACUAAUCAUGGUUAGCCGUGUCCCGGUUAUGGACAUCUUGAGUAUCUGGUACUUCAAUUAUUGAUUUGAUCUCAUCACUCUAAAUUAAUUUGACGGGUGUUAAUGACUACUUUAAUUGGGAUUGAGUUGGAGGAACCUUCUCAAUGAUGUUUCAACUACCAUGAUAGUUAAAUUAAACAUAUUCCUUUGUUGUAGGGAAAAAUUGGCUUUUCGCAAAACAAUAUAACCAUAGAGUCUCCACCAGCCAUAUAUGCAUGUAGUGAUAGCAUUUAUCUGUUCAUUGCUCUAUCGUGUUAUAUUGCGAGCAUAUUCCAUGUGCUGACCCAUUUCGGGCUACAACAUAUCAUGUUGCAGACUUUUCAUACGAUGAGUAAGGUGCCAUAGGUCGUUUGUCGUGUACUCAGCUAUGCCGUUGGAGUUGAUGGACUCACUUUAUCUUCCAAGCCUUCCGUUGUUAUCUUAUUUAGAUGGCCUUAAGCCAUAUUUAUUGUAAUAAGUUCUCUUUUAAGACAUUUGAUGUAAUAAGUGUUUGAUUGCUACUCUGUUAUAAAUCCUUCGAGUAUUGUGUGUGUCAGCAUUACCGAUCCAGGGAUGGCACUGAACAUAGGGAUUUGACCAUCUAAGGUAGGAUCUCUACAAGAUGGUAUCAGAGCACACGUUGAAUGUAGGACACGACCACUAAGAUGAGCCAUAGGUCACUCUUCUCUACUCAUUUCUGACUCCUCUCCAUUUUCUACUCCUUAGGAUAGCAGACGCAAGGAACAAGUUUACACAGCCGAAUGAAGAUACACCCUUUGGACGACACUCGAAGGAAGUCACUAGGUAUCUGAACAUCGGAAUGCGAAGCUUCACCGGGACCUACACUGCCACACUACCAGAAGAGGAGCGAUGGUUGAUUCGAGUUCAAGUUUCAGGAAGGACAAUCACGCCAGUCAUUGAGCCCAUAGAGUUUUCCUUUGAUGCACCAACCUGGAGUCUGGGCAAGAGCAUGGCAGCCCACAUCGCCAUGGGACGCAUCGGUGAAUUUUAUCACAAGGAGCUUAAGGACACUAUCUACCAGAUAUGUGGGCGCCGAGAUGAGCAAUGGAAGAUGAUCAGCACCAGGAAGGACAUGUCCAUUGCAGCGUUCAUCUAGGAGUUAAAUCAUCACAUUCGUCGCCAGGAGAACUAGCUGUGCGCAAGAAUGAUAGAUUUGAAGAAGGCGAUGACCAGGAUCACAGAGAUAGAAGAGGAACGCAAGUCUACACACGAUGGAUAUGAGGAGGAAAUGACGAUGCUUGUGGAGAAGAAUGACGACCUGACAAGGAAGCUAGGAGUUUUCAUGGGAGACCCCGCGCCAGGAGGAGAAGAUGACGAAUCUGAGGAGAUUCGUUCUAAAGACUACAUCAUCAUUGACGACACCGACUCCGCCCCUGAUGGUAGUGAUGAUGAUUAUGAAGAUGAAGCUCGAGCAGAUAUCAUGGAGUCUUCCACUGAUCAAAUUCUAGAUGACCACCAUAUGAUUAGUAGUAUUCCCCCCAUGUAUAUAUUAGUAGUCUGAGCACUGUAAUGAUAGUUAGAUCAAAUAUAUGCCCUUGCUUGAUAUUGUUUUGGUGUGAUAUUGAUUGUGUUUUGUCUCAUGUGCAUAUGGGUAGUGCUUUCUCAUUAGACCUCAGUCUAUUCUAAUCUGUCCCCUCUAAACCCAUCAGAUGCCUCCGAGACGUGACCCCGGAUUUGCUUUUCCACCGGAGCUCACUCAUUUGAUCCAGCAGCAGAAUACAGUGAUGUAGUUGCUAGUUCAGAAUUAGGGCAACAACAACAACAACAAUAACAACAACCCACCCCCACCACCUCCAGUUGACAACUUAGCCCGUUUUCUAAGGUUACAACCACCGGUGUUUUCCAGUAGCACCGAGCCCAUAGUUGCGGAUGACUGGCUACGUAGGAUUGGAAGGGAGUUGACCGCUGCCGGUUGCACAGAUGCUGAGAAGGUGCGUUUUGUCGCACACCAAUUGGAUGGACCCGCAGCCGCAUGGUGGGAAAAUUACACAACCACUUUCCCUAUAGCCAAUAUUACUUGGGAGCAUUUUCAGCAAGCAUUCUGCACUGCUCAUGUCUCCACCGGAGCUAUGAGUAUGAAGAAGCGUGAGUUUCGCAACUUAUGCUAGGGCAACCGUACUAUAGGGCAGUACGCGGAGGAGUUUAGCAAGCUAGCUCGUUAUGCCCUAGAUGACGUGGCCACCGAUGCCGCGAAACAAGAGAAGUUUAUGGAAGGGCUGAACGAUGAGAUGAGUAUGCAGUUGAUGGUGGCAACAUUCAACAACUACCAGGAGUUGGUAGAUAAGGCUCUUAUGAUUGAAGGGAAGCAACAGCAGAUUGAGAGCCGCAAGAGAAAGUAUGGGCAAGGAAAGUACAAUUUAGGAGCUCAACAGAAACCUUGUAUCACCCUGAACCCGGGAGGAUUUACACAUAACAAUGGAGGCCAUAACCACAAUGGAGGAAUUCUGCAUAACCACCAUGGCCCUGGGAAUGGAAAUGGGAGUGGAGCAGGCAGCAAUCAGAACCGCUCUAACCCAAGCAUGCCCGCCAAGAAGGAUUUAAGUCACAUCACUUGUUUCAAGUGCGGGACGACUGGACACUACGCCACUGAGUGUUUUGAAGCAAAGAAUGUAAAUGGCAAUUGAAGCUCUGGGAAGAAGCCCAACCCUUUCAACAAGGGACAAGUGAACCACGUGAACGUGGAGGAGGUUGAGGAGUAGCCAGAUGCAGUUAUCAGUAAGUUUUUGGUUAAGUCAUUUACUACUGUAGUUCUUUUUGAUACCGGUGCAUCGCAUUCAUACAUUUCAAGGGGAUUCAUGGAUAAAUAUAAGUUUCCCACUAAAGUAUUAGGACAUCUAUGUUUGUAAGCUCACCAGGAGUAGAGUAUAUGGCAAGUCAGGGAUGUUUUCAGAUGCCAUUGACCAUAGGUAGGCAUGUUUUCCCCUCAGACUUGAUAAUUUUGGAGUCACAAGGAUUGGAUGUGAUACUAGGAAUGGAUUGGUUAUCGAAGUAUGAAGGUAACAUUGACUGUGCUAGUAGGUCAAUUCUACUCACCACCCCGGAGGGAAAAAGAAUCAGGUAUGUUUCGAGGCAUGCAUCAAGCAGGGCCCAAGUAAAUUCUCUUACGGGAGUUGUUCAGGAAGAAGUGCCCGUAGUAAAGGAUUACCCAGAUGUAUUUCUAGAGGAGUUACCAGGUAUGCCGCCAGACCGAGAUAUUGAGUUUUUGAUAGAGCUAUUGCCAGGCACUGGACCAAUAUCGAAGAGACCAUACCGGAUGCCUGCAAAUGAUCUGGAGGAGAUUAAGAAACAGAUUAAGGAGUUAUUGGAGAAAGGUUACAUUCGACGAAGUUCGUCACCAUGGGGAGCCCCAGUUCUCUUGGUUGAGAAUAAGGAUAAGUCUCUGAGAAUGGUUGUUGAUUAUCGUGUGUUGAAUGAAGUAACGAUCAAGAACAAAUACCCACUGCCGAUGAUCAAUGAUCUGUUUGACCAGCUGCAACGAGCAAAAGUCUUUCCAAGAUCGAUCUUCGAUCAGGAUACCACCAGCUGAAGAUUCGAGAACAAGAUCUACCUAAGACAACUUUCACCACCAGGUACGGGUUGUAUGAGUACACAUUUAUGUCAUUCGGAUUGACUAACGCCCCUGCCAAUUUCAUGAGUAUGAUGAACAAGGUGUUCAUGGAGUUCUUGGAUAAAUUUGUCGUGGUGUUCAUUGAUGACAUUUUGGUGUACUCGAAGAAUGAAGAAGAGCAUAAGGAGCAUUUGCGCUUAGUUCUCGAGAAGCUCAGGGAACACCAGUUAUACGCCAAGUUCAGCAAAUAUGAGUUUUGGUUGUAGGAAGUUGGAUUCCUUGGAACAUGUUAUAUCAAGAGAGGAUAUAGCGGUACACCCUACCAAGGUUCAGUCAGUCAUUAAGUGGUUGGCACCCACCUCAGUUGGAGAGAUCCGCAGUUUUCUUGGACUCGCGGGAUAUUAACGGAGAUUCAUUGAGAAUUUUUCUAAGAUUGCGAAGCCCAUGAUGGCAUUGUUGAAGAAGGACACCAAGUUCCAUUGGACUAAAGAAUGUGAAGCAAGUUUCCAGGAGUUGAAGAAACGUUUGACUACGGCCCCAGUGCUGAUUCUGCCAGAUAUACGCAAGGAUUUCCAAGUGUAUUGUGACGCCUCUCGCUUAGGACUUGGAGGAGUACUUAUGCAAGAUGGAAGAGUUGUUUCGUAUUCCUCACGUCAACUUCGACCGCAUGAGUUGAAUUAUGCCACCCAUGAUUUGGAGUUAGCAGUUGUAGUGCAUGCGCUCAAGACCUGGAGACAUUUUCUUAUUAGAAACCAUUGUGAUGUGUACACGAAUCACAAGAGUUUGAAGUACAUUUUUACUCAGAAGGAGCUAAACCUCAGGCAGAGGAGAUGGUUGGAGCUCAUAAAGGAUUAUGAUAUUAAGUUGCACUAUCAUCUAGGAAAGGCCAAUGUCGUAGCAGAUGCUUUGAGCCGGAAGAGUUAUGUCAAUACCCUCAUAAGCGGAGGAUUGCCAAAGGAGUUAGCAGUAGAUCUCAGGGAGCUUCGUUUGGAAAUCGUCUGUAACACCCAUGAUGCGGCUAUAUCUCCCACGUGUCGGAGCACGACUUAGAGGCAUAACCGCAUAGUAGGCAUGUCGCAAGAGGGGUAAUCUUUACACAUCCCAUGUACUGAAUAAGAAAGGGAUACAGAGUUGGCUUACAAUCGCCACUUCACACAAUACAUAAAUAUAGCAUUACAUCAUCCAGAAUACAAUCAAGGUCCGACUAUGGGACCAACAUAAAUAAAGACAACCCCAAAUGCAUAGAUCCCCGAUCGCCCCAACUGGGCUCCACUACUGACCGUCUGAAAAGGAAACAUAGUAAUGUCCUGAAUCCUCGUCGAACUCCCACUUGAGUUCGGUAGCGUCCCCUGCACUAGCAUCAUCGGCACCUGCAUCUAGUUUUGGAAGUAAUCUGUGAGUCACGGGGACUCAGCAAUCUCACACCCUCGCGAUCAAGACUAUUUAAGCUUAUGGGUAGGAAAAGGUAGUGAGGUGGAGCUGCAGCAAGCACUAGCAUAUAUGGAGGCUAACAUACGCAAAACAAAGCGAGAAGAGAAGCAAGGCACGGUCGAGAAACUAUAAUGGUCAAGAAGUGAUCCUGAAACUACUUACGUUAAAGCAUAACACGAGACCAUGUUCUCUUCCCGGACUCCGCCGAAAAGAGACCACCACGGCUACACAGGCCGUUGAUUCAUUUUAAUUAAGUUAAGUGUCAGGUUUUCUACAACCAGAUAUUAACAAAUUCCCAUCUUCCCAUAACCACGGGCACGGCUUUCAAAAGUUCAAAACCCUGCAGGGGUGUCCCAACUUAGCCCAUCACAAGCUCUCACGGUCAACGGAGGAUAUUCCUUCUCACAGGAAGACCCGAUCAGACUCGGAAUCCCGGUUACAAGACAUUUCAACAAUGGUAAAACAAGACUAGCAAAGCCACCCGAAUGUGCCGACAAACCCCGAUAGGAGCUGCACAUAUCUCAUUCUCAGGGCACACCGGAUUGUCCAAGAUUCCUGUAGGCCAACCCAGAGUUGCCCCUGGUGGCCACCGGCUGCUGACAGGUUGGACCAACACUCAGAGGAGCACUGGCCCGGGGGUUUAAAAUAAAGAUGACCCUUGACUCCGCGGAACCCAAGGGAAAAGGCUUACGUGGCAAAUAGUAAAACCAAGGUUGGGCCUUGCUGGAGGAGUUUUAUUUAAGGUGAACUGUCAAGGGGUUCCCAUUAUAACCCAACCGCGUAAGGAACGCAAAAUCAAGGAACAUAACACCGGUAUGACGGAAACUAGGGCGGCAAGAGUGGAACAAAGCACCAGGCAUAAGGCCGAGCCUUCCACCCUUUACCAAGUAUAUAGGUGCAUAAGUAAACAAGAUAUACUAAUGAUAUCCCAACAAUAACCAUGUUCCUACAUGGAACAAACUCCAUCUUCACCUGCAACUAGCAACGAUAUAAGAGGGGCUGAGCAAAGCGGUAACAUAGCCAAACAACGAUUGCUAGGACAAGGUGGGUUAGAGGCUUGACAUGUCAAUACGGGAGGCAUGAUAAAGCAUGUGGUAGGUAUCACGGCAUAGCAAAAGAGCGAGCAACUAUCAAGCAAAGAUAGAAGUGAUUUCGAGUGUAUGGUCAUCUUGCCUGCAAAGUUCUCCGAGUUGACGAAGGCUUGAUCCUCGUAAGCGUACUCAACGGGUUCCUCGAUCAUGUAAUCGUCUCACGGAUCUACCCAAAGCAAGAACAUAAGCAAAGGAAACCACAAUCAACCACGGUGCAAUGCGCAAGCAACAUGAUGCAAAACAUGGCAUGAGAUGCGGGAUGUGAUAUGCAAUGCAUAUGCGUGCUUCGGAAAGAAAAUACUGAACCAUGCCUCAACUUGGCAAACUAAGUGCUUCACUGGAAUAUGAGUUGAUUUCGGUCGAAAUCGAUAUAAAGAUCACCGGAAUCGGAUGCACGGUUUGCAAAUGGCAAGCAAAACAAGAAUGGCACAAUUCUGCGAUUAACAGCAUGAUGCCAUCUAGAAUACAACAAGAAUCUAAGCUACUGCACUCCAACAUAGCAACAAAGCACAUGGACGUGAUCUACUCAAGAUGCUUGACAAAAGAUGAACAGCGAGAUACGGCUAAUUCACACAAUAGUAGGUUCAAACAAGCAUGGCAAAAGUGCAAAAAAUAUCAGCAUCACAGACUUAGUGAAAAUACUAACAUGUCAGGAUUUAACAUCAGGAAGCAAUGUUUAGAGCAAGCUAACAACAUGCUACAGGAUCAUAUCAUAGCAACCAAAGGCAUGGAAUGAAUCUACUAAAAGUAUAGAACAAAAGUCCGUUGCUGACCAUAAGUCAUAAGGGCACAUAAAAUAUUAUGGCACCCAUGUAAACAUAGCAAGUUUCGUUAACAGAUUCAGACUUAGCAGAAAACUGGACAUGGCAAAAACAGAAUUAUGAAGGCAUCGUUGCGAGCUCGAUUCACUCACCACAAGGCAUUGCAUGACAAACUAAGCAUACUACCAGCAAGAAGACAUGUUCAUGAAGCUAACCAAUGCAAGAACAAACUUAUAGCAUGUAUUGAUCAACUACAACAACCUUGGCAAAAUUGAUUAACACGUAAACAAUCUGCCAGGAACAUUUUAUAGCAAAAGUAGAGCAAGAUUGAGUCAUGCUAGGGCACUCCAUAAAUGCAAACAGGGGCAUAGAUGGAUAGAUCACAACCAUAUGUCCAAAUCAUCCUUACUGAACAUGCUCAAAAGAAGCAUGGAUUACUCUGUAGCAACAUGAAUAUACGGCAUAAAAAUAAUAGAAGGGAAAUGACUUGGUGAAAUUCUAUGUCCCUGAAAUCAGCAAUACCACGAGAGCUACUUUGUAUGCUUGUGCUAGUUACCACAUUGAUCAAAAAAAUACAUGGCAUACACCCCUGUAAAUAUGGCAUGGCAUAGCCCAAAACACAUGUAGAGCUCAAGUCCAUAGGAAGCACACAACAAAUGUAGCAAAAAUGAUAAAUGCUCAUAUCUGCUAAGUAGCAGGAACUAACAUUUUAUAGCACUCUUGAAUCAACAAUUGGGUAUCAAGAUGGACUCAAAGAAGCAUAACACAAUGGAACAAAAUGAAGAGCACAACCUGAUGAACAUUCUGAUAUAUCAUGCAUGCAAAAUGGAUUUACGGAUGAGGAGUUAUGAUGCGAUGAAUAGGGGCUGAAAAUACUGCAGCAAAAGGACUUAGAAUAUUUCAGGGGUCAACCUAAGGAUUCUAGAUCUGGAUCUGGCACAUUCCACGAGGUUUGCCGGAGCAGUUCGCCGGAGUUGAGAGGUCCUGUGGCCGGAGAGGUGCGGGGGCUCGCCGGAGGGGUGCGGAAGAGGCGGAUCCGGCGCUCGGACGGAGGAGGCCGAUGAUGGCGUCGCGGUGGCGCACCNNNNNNNNNNNNNNNNNNNNNNNNNNNNNNNNNNNNNNNNNNNNNNNNNNNNNNNNNNNNNNNNNNNNNNNNNNNNNNNNNNNNNNNNNNNNNNNNNNNNNNNNNNNNNNNNNNNNNNNNNNNNNNNNNNNNNNNNNNNNNNNNNNNNNNNNNNNNNNNNNNNNNNNNNNNNNNNNNNNNNNNNNNNNNNNNNNNNNNNNNNNNNNNNNNNNNNNNNNNNNNNNNNNNNNNNNNNNNNNNNNNNNNNNNNNNNNNNNNNNNNNNNNNNNNNNNNNNNNNNNNNNNNNNNNNNNNNNNNNNNNNNNNNNNUGGGACGGCGAGGCUCGCGGGCGGCGGUGCAGAGAGACGGGCCGCAGGGGCCGUCCUCGGGCCCGGGUGGGCCGGCGGCGCGGGGGCGGUGGUGCUGCCACAUGGCAUGUUGCGGUUGGACGGGCGCGGCGGCGGGUUUCGUCUGGCGUGGACGGACACAUCCGGCGCACAGAGGGGAGAGGUAGCUAGGGUUUGGACCCGAAAAUUCGGAGGAGUGCACAUAUUUAUAGGUAGAGGGAGCUAGGAGAGUCCAAAUGAGGUGCGGUUUUCGGCCACGCGAUCGUGAUCGAACGGCCGAGAGGAUCGAGGGGGUUUGGAUGGGACAUAUGGCUACUUUACAGCGGUGUUGGGCUGCAACACACACGAGGCAUUUACGGUUCCCCGGUUAACCGUUGGAGUAUCGAACGAACUCCAAAUGGCACGAAACUUGACAAGCGGUCUACUGGUGGUGUACCAAGGCUGCUUGGCAAAUCUCGGUCCAUUUCGAGAAAGUUUAACACCCGCUCACGAAAAGAGGCAAAAGGGGGCGCCGGAGGACGUAGGAGUGUCGGAAUGCAAAACGGACAACGGGGAAAAUGCUCGGAUGCAAGAGACGAACACGUAUGAAAAUGAGAUGCACAUGAUGGCAUGAUAUGAAAUGCAUGACAUGGAAAAAAUGCAAAACGAAGACAAAACCCAACCACGAGGAAAUCUCAUAACUUAGAGUCGAAAAUGGCAAGAGUCAGAGUACAAAUAUGGCAAAUUACAUCCGGGGCAUUACAUCGUCCCUAUAAGUUUUGUUGCAGCAUUGGAGGUUCAAUCAACGUUAUUGGGAAAGAUUCGAGAAGCUCAGAAGCAUGACAAAGAUAUUGCAGAGAUAAAGAAGAAGAUGAGUGAAGGAAAGCCAAAGGUUUUCGUGAGGACGAGCACGACACCUUGUGGUUCGAGGACCGUGUUUAUGUGCCCAACAAUGCAGAUAUCAGGAAGUUAAUACUAUAGGAGGCACAUGAGUCACCAUACUCGAUACACCCCAGAAACACCAAGAUGUAUUUGUAUUUGAAGGAGCGUUUCUUGUGGACUGGUAUGAAGAAGGAUAUUGCUGAGUAUGUUGCCGUAUGUGAUGUAUGUCAGAGAGUGAAGGCAGAACAUCAGAAGCCAGCAGGAUUACUGCAGCCUAUGCUGAUACCCGAAUGGAAGUGGGACAAGCUUGGCACAGAUUUUAUCACCAGAUUACCCAGGACCCGAUCGGGAUAUGAUUCUAUCUAGGUAGUAGUGGAUCGCUUGACCAAAGUAGCUCACUUUAUCCCCGUGAAGACCACUUAUACCAGUGUGAAGUUGGCCAAGAUAUAUAUGACCAUGAUCGUAUGUCUGCAUGGAGUCCCGAGGACCAUCGUAUCAGAUAGAGGAACGCAAUUUACAUCAAAGUUUUGGCACCAGCUGCACCAGACGUUGGGUACCAGGCUAGAGUUCAGUACAGCUUUUCCUCAGCACACAGAUGGACAGACUGAGAGAGUCAAUCAGAUUCUGGAGGACAUGUUGAGAGCGUGUGCGCUAGAUUAUGGAUCUAGUUGGGAUGAUAAUUUGCCCUAUGCGGAGUUCUCAUACAAUAAUAGCUACCGGGCCAGUUUGAAGAUGGCACCUUUCGAAGCCUUGCAUGGAAGGAGGUGCAGAACACCGUUGAUGUGGGAUGCAGUUGGAGACCGUCACUUGUUUGGACCAGAUUUGAUUAAGGAGUCCAAAGAAAAGUUAAGCUUAUUUGAGAUAGACUGAAGGUAGCUCAGUCCAGGCAGAAGAGUUAUGCAGAUUCAAAACGUAAGGAGGUAGUCUAUGAAAUCGGAGAUAGAGCAUAUCUCCGUGUGUCACCACUACGAGGAGUUAAACAUUUUGGAGUUAAGGAAAAUUUAGCCCCGAGAUUUGUAGGACCAUACAAUAUUUUGGACGCAUGGGAGAGCUUGCCUACAAGCUCGAGUUACCCGAAGGACUGUCAGGAGUUCAUGAUGUGUUUCACGUUUUCUAGUUUAAGAAGUGCCAUGCAGAGAUGGCCGAUAUACCCCUGAGAAAUACAGUGCCCCUAGAAGCAAUUCAGUUGGAUAGUGAUUUGACAUAUGAGGAGAAACUAGUCAAGAUUCUCGAGUUUGCCAGCCGAGUUACUCGCAGCAAGGUUAUCAAGUUUUGCAAAGUUCAGUGGAGCCACCAUACCGAGGAUGAAGCCACCUGGGGACGAGAGGAUGAUCUACGCAAAGACCACCCACACCUAUUUUCUAGCCAACCCGAAUCUCGAGGACGAGAUUCAUCUUAAGGGGGGUAGGUUUGUAACAUCCCAAAUUUUCAAUUUGGAAUGCUAUACAUAGGUCAUUCAUGCAUAUCAUAUUUUUAUUGCAUUUUGCUUUGCGAUCCUCGAAAUUCUAAGCAACUCAAGGACCCACGGAGAGAGUUGGGGAUUUCACAUUUUUCAUAUUUAAUUUUUAUCAAAUAUCGAAACAAGGAUCACUAUGGUUUUUAAUUAUUUUUCUCUCCGAAAAUAUUUCAUAUUAAAAUAUAAAAGAGGAGAUAAUAUGAAUUGUCCAAAAUAAAGGGAAUAUUCGAGGAAAAAUAUUAAAAAUCAAAUAAAUGUUUUCUUUUGGACUUUUAUUGCUAUUUUAAUUGAAUUAGGAAAAAUAUGCGUUUUUCAAAAAUUGCAUUAGAGGCCCAAAUAAAUGUUCACAUUGUCCGCAAUAUUAUUAGAGCACCGUGAAAAUUUAUUUCAGGAUUUUUUUAAAAAAAAUGCACCAACCUAACGGGUCGUGCCCGACCCGAACACUGCCCGGCCGGCCUUUAAAGGGCGAGGCCCGAAGCCCGCCGCACCACCAACCCCGCCCCAAAACCCUAGCACCGCAGCCUCGAAAACCCCACUGCCGCCACCGCCACUUCGCGCCGCCGCCGCUCGACGCCGCCGCCCGACGCUGCCGCCUCCCCGUUGCGCCGCCGCCGCCGAUCGCCGCCCGCCAGAGCCGCCACCGACCACCCGCCCGCCGGAGCCGCCGCUGAUUUCUCCGUCGUCGCCACUCAUCGGAGGUAGAAACCGCCGCCACCGCCGUCUCGGUUUUUCUCAGAAAACCAUCGGUGUUUUUAGUAAACCCUAGAUUCGUUUUUUAUUAUAUCGGUUCGGUUUUUCGGUUUAGUUAAAUAACAAACGUUAUUCCGUACAUUUGUUUUAGCGAACGCUGUUCGUCAGUUAGCCGCAGACAGCGAACGUUCAUUCGUUAGCAUGUUCGUCUCGUUUUAUUUUCCAGGGGUUUUCCGCGAUUAUUUUCGAUCGCAAUUUCUGCCCUAAUCUUCAUUCUAGUAUAUCUUUUCGCUCGUUUAUCCUAAUCUGGUGAAACAAGCGCCUAGAUCUUCGUCUCGAAGUCCUCUUUCUGUUUAACCAACUUGAACAAGAUUUUGGUACUAUAAAAUUUGACUUUAGUCCAGAUCUUGUUUCUUUCGUAGUUUGAGUUUCGUUGCUCCGUUUGAUUUGAUUCUUUUUGGAAAAUCAAAUCUUUUCAGUUGAGUUUUAUGAUUCGAUCAUAUUAUUUGAGUUUUACCCAUGCAUCUUUCCUUGAGUGCUCAUGUAUGCUAUCUUUUGUUUGUGAUAGAAUUCCCGGAGUGCGAAGCAUGCUUCUAUGAGUCUCUAGGUUUUGCGGAUCGUCAGCAAGGCAAGUAACACUUUGAUCAUACCCCUUUAUUACCCAAUUUUUAUGCAUUAGUUUCAACCCUCACAUAUGGCAUGAGUAGGAUCUCUUAACAUGUGGGUCUGGGAAGUAGCUGAUGAGGUAGAACCUAUUACCUAUUUUAUUAUCAAACCCUUGGGAGUUACUUCUAUGCUAUGCUUAUAUUUCCAUGCUAUGCCCGUAGACGUGGUUUGGUUUGAGUGUAACCAUGAUAGAUGUGAGUUGUUAAUUAAUGGUUCAACUUAAGGUGGCAACUUUAAUACACAUCUGGGUGGAUUGCUUGUGGGCACCUGGAGAAUCCAGUGUUGUCCUAGGAUAUCCCGGAGUACCCAUGUCAUCCUACGGUCUGCCACCCAGGCUCAAAGGGAUCAUAAGAUUGUUCAUGCUAGAAACUUCCGUGUGCAGCCACAAGACAUUAUGGGCUCUAGCAUAGUUGAGUAUGUUGCGUGACCUCUUUCAGUGGUGGGCUAGCAGAUGUAGGGAAAAGUAGGUGUAACUGUCCACCCAGGGUAAAGAGUUAAUGCUUCUGAAAGACUGUGUCUCUGUCAUCCUUUCUCAAACACCAUGUAGUGUGAGAAAUCAUACAAAGGAGAUCGUGUCUUGUGGGGAAAAGUGCGCAAACCUCUACAGAGUGUGUAAACUAAUCAUGGUUAGGCGUGUCCCCGGUUAUGGACAUCUUGAGUAUCUAGUACUUGAAUUAUUGAUUUGGUCUCAUCACUCUAAAUUAAUUUGAAGGGUGUUAAUGACUACUUUAAUUGGGAUUGAGUUGGAGGGACCUUCUCAAUGAUGUUUCAACGACCAUGAUAGUUAAAUAAAACAUAUUCCUUUGUUGUAGGAAAAAAUUGGCUUUUCGCAAAACAAUAUAACCAUAGAGCCUCCACCAGCCAUAUAUGCAUGUAGUGUUAGCAUUUAUCUAUUCAUUGCUCUACUGUGUUAUAUUGCUAGCAUAUUCCAUGUGCUGACCCGUUUCGGGCUGCAACAUAUCAUGUUGCAGACUUUUCAGACGACAAGUAAGGUGCCAUAGGUCGUUUGUCGUGCACUCAGCUGUGCCGUUCGAGUUGAUGGACUCACUUUAUCUUCCAAGCCUUCCGAUGUUAUCUUAUUUAGAUGUCCUUAAGACGUAUUUAUUGUAAUAAGUUCUCUUUUGAGACAUUCGAUGUAAUAAGUGUGUGAUUGCUACUUUGUUAUAAAUCCUUCGAGUAUUGUGUGUGUCAGCAUUACCGAUACAGGGAUGAUACUAAACGCAGAGAUUUGACCGUCUGAGGUCGGAUCGCUACAUUUUCUAACCUAGCACUACAAGAAAUAUGUCCACUUGUGACCAUCACUAUUGGCCGCUGAAAGGUCAUAGUUUUCCAUUUACGACAUUUUUGUAACCAAAAACAGAAGGUCAAAAGCUGGCGGUCGUAAACUGAAAUUAACGACCUUCUGUGUGAGAAGGUCGUAGACGUUUAUGACCAAAACAAAAGGUCGUUGAACCCAUGACCUUCUGUUUUGGUCACUGGCUGUCGGCCCAGGCCACGUCAGAUACGACAUGGCAAUCUGACGUGGAAAAAUUGUGACCAAUUGAAAAGGUCACUGACAAGAUUCACCCCGGUCCGAUUCGGUGUUUUACAUGGGCCGAGCCCAUUAAUUCAGCCUUUUAGGAUAUUUUUUUGCUUGAUGUUUUUGGGCCUUUUCUAUGAUGGGCUUUUACCUUCCACAUAGUUCAUUUCCUUUUUGUUUAUAUUUUCUAUUUGAGUCGAGGCCUGCUUAUAAUACUUCUGAAUAGCUUUUUAGCCCAGGUUAUUUUGGACCAUGACAUCUUAAUAGUACGAGUAUAUUUCGGUCGUGGCCACUAUGAGGUCCAGUAAGAACAUUUUUUCUAGAGAAUUUAAUGUUCAAGUAAAAUGUACACGACACAUUACAUGGAAAUAGCUCAUACAACAGCAGAUAAAUUUUCAUUUCACUCCUACUACAGCUCACUACAACAUAGACAGUACAUGACACUUCAUCCUUCAGUUUUUUGCCAGGCACUAGACGAGUACAUCUCACUUCAAAUAAACAGUACUGUUCUCGGAAGAAAAAUACACCACCGCACGCCAUGGUGCGCUGUAACACCCACGAUGCGGCUAUAUCUCCCACGUGUCGGGGCACGACUUAGAGGCAUAGCCGCAUGGUAGGUUUGUCGCAAGAGGGGUAAUCUUCACACAAUCCCAUGUACUGAAUAAGAAAGGGAUAAAGAGUUGGCUUACAAUCGCCACUUCACACAAAUACAAGUUUAACAUACAUCAUCCAGAAUACAAUCAAGGUCCGACUACGGUACCAAAUAAAAGAAGAAAACCCCAAUUGCUAGAUCCCCGAUCGCCCCAACUAGGCUCCACUACUGAUCAACAAGAAACGAAACAACACAAUGAAGAAGAUCUUCAUCGAGCUCCCACCUGAGCUGGGUUGCGUCACCUGCACUGGUAUCAUCGGCACCUGCAACUGUUUGGAAGUAUCUGUGGGUCAGGAGGACUCAGCAAUCUCACACCCUCACGAUCAAGACUAUUUAAGCUUAUGGGUAGGAAAGGGUAGUAAGGUGGAGCUGCAGCAAGCACUAGCAUAUAUGGUGGCUAACUUACGCAAAUGAGAGCGAGAAGAGAAGCAAAGAUCGGUCGAGAAGCUAUAAAGAUCAAGAAGUGAUCCUGAAACUACUUACGAUCAAGCAUAACACGAGACCGUGUUCUCUUCCCGGACUCCGCCGAAAAGAGACCAUCACGGCUACACACACGGUUGAUUCAUUUUAAUUAAGUUUAGUGUCAAGUUUUCUACAACCAGACAUUAACAAAUUCCCAUCUGCCCAUAACCACGGGCAUGACUUUUGAAAGUUCAAACCCUGCAGGGGUGUCCCAACUUAGCCCAUCACAAGCUCUCACAGUCAAUGAAGGAUAUUCCUUCUCCUAGGAAGACCCGAUCAGACUCGGAAUCCCGGUUACAAGACAUUUCAACAAUGGUAAAACAUGACCAGCAAAGCCGCCCAGAUGUGCCGAAAAAUCCCGAUAGGAGCUGCACAUAUCUCAUUCUCAGGGCACACCGGAUUGUCCAAACUUCCGGUAGGCCAGCCCAGAGUUUCCCCUAGUGGCCACCGGCGGCUGAUAGGUUGGACCAACACUCAGAGGAGCACUGGCCCGGGGGUUUAAAACAAAGAUGACCCUCGGGCUCCGGAAACCCGAGGGAAAAAGGUUGGGCCUUGCUGGAGGAGUUUUAUUCAAAGCGAACUGUCAAGGGGUUCCCAUAACACCCAACCGCGUAAGGAACGCAAAAUCAAGGAACAUAAACCGGUAUGACGGAAACUAGGGCGGCAAGAGUGGAACAAAACACCAGGCAUAAGGCCGAGCCUUCCACCCUGUACCAAGUAUAUAGGUGCAUUAAAGUAAAUAAGAUAUAAUAAUGAUAUCCCAACAAAUCCAUGUUCCAAACAUGGAACAAACUUCAACUUCACCUGCAACUAGCAACGCUAUAAGAGAGGAUGAGCAAAGCGGUAACAUAGCCAAACAAUGGUUUGCUAGGAAAGGUGGGUUAGAGGCUUCACAUGGCAAUAUGGGAGGCAUGAUAAAACAAAUGGUAGGUAUCGCGGCAUAGCAAUAGAGCGAGCAACUCGCAAGCAAAUAUAGAAGUGAUUUCAAGGGUACGGUAAUCUUGCCUGAGAUCCCGCAAGGAAGAAGAACGAGUCCAUGAAGAAGAGAAACGGACGUAGUCAAACGGAUCCUCACAAACGCGAUGUUAUCGGAACUAACCCGAAGAAGCAACACCGUAGAGAAGCAAACAACUUAGUAAACAACCAUCACAUAAUCAUGGCAUGAUGCACUACCAAGUAGGACGCAUGUCCAGUUUAAUGAAGCAUGGCAUGGCAAAGUGCAACAAACAACACUACAAAUUAAGUGGAGCUUUGCAUAUUGAAGAAAACACCACAUGACUUAUUUAGUUCUCUCUCGUUUAGGUACUCAACAAUAUUAAAUGUUGGUUAGCAUGGCAAGAGGUGAAGCAUAACAAAACUAUACUAUCUAAACAAUUUAAAUGGGGCUGGAUAUAACAAACAAAAAAUCCGGUAAAUCCCCAUAUGCAUUUAGCAAAUUAAUGCAAACAACAAUUUAAACAUUAUUGAUGUUGUUAUCAUGAUGCGGAUGACAUUUGCAAGUUUUAUGCAGGUUUUAUGAAAAUGUUAACAAGAGCAUAUUAUGAAGCAUUUGUCAUUGUGGCAGAAACAAAAGGGGUGCCACGGCAACAAAUCCAAAAAAUGACGCCACGGCAACAUUCCGGUUCCAGUAGCUCAUGGAGAUACUGGUGCAAAGGAAGUGUGGCGGGAGCGUGCAGAAGAUGGUGGGCUGAUCCCGGAUUCCGGGUGUCCCACGGGUUCAUGACAAGGCUAACGAGGAACGUGCAAGGAUCAAUCCGAACAUGGUGCAGACAACGGGUGCAUCUCAUACAACACAUGCAAACAUUCUCGGACGGUCGCGUAUCGGUUCGGUGUAAAGUAGAGGAAGUAGACGUUCUCGCCACGUUCAUAGUGGUAGUAGUUGUACUCAUGGCGUAGUGGAAGUAGUGGUUCACGUCGAUGGUAGUGGUACAUAGAAAACGUGGAGGAACUUGAGGGUCAUCGGUAGACGAUCACGGGUCUUCGGCGAUGGUUGUGGUACACGUUCCGUAGAUGUUCGGGCGGCAGUAGUGGUACACAUUUCGAAGGCGUUGGAGCCAUUGGUAGCGGUACUUGGUGAAUCUCGAAACGGUCUUGGCAUCUUCGCGCGUAGGGGUACUUGGCGUUUUCAUGUAAUAGAAUUUGAGGGGUCUCGACAUCGUGGUACUUGGCACAAUCCGCAUAGUCAUGCACUUGUCGUCGAGGGGCUUGACGGUCUUGACAAAAUGAAGGGGUACUUGGUAGUUGUUGUAGGGUGGCCUUCGGUGGACUUGGUGGAAACCACGACGUGUGCAGGAGGCAUACGACUCCAAAACGCCCACGACCGUGCGGAAGACCGCGGAGCUCCUGUUACGGGGAGGGUUCGUGGCGACGGCAGGAUGUGAAGGAGGGCGGCAGCUAGGCUGCGGCUGCGAUGCCCACAUGCACGAAGCAGGGGAGGCGAGCGAGCUGUCUACCUCGUCACCUCCUAACGAACAGGAACAGCGGCGGCUGCACCAGAAGCUUGGUGCGCGGCCAGAGCUUGGCAUCAGCGAGGGACGGUGGGGAAGGCGCGAGGCUGGACCGGCCGGAGCUCGAUGUGUUGCCGAGGGGAAUCGGAACCGACUGCCGAAGUCUUGAUCUAAAGAAAAGGAUGGCCAUGGCAUCCCUGCUCGACGGACUAGGGCCGUUUCGGGCGAUGAAGAUAGGUGCCCACAUCCUGGACCAAGCAGAGGACUUGGCGCGGCUACGACGACGAGGAAUCGAAUGAGGAGGUCGGGGAUGAGGCAUCGGGGCCGGAUCCUGUAUGGAGGAGGACACGGGCAAGGCGGUGGAAGGCGGGCACCGGUGCUCCUGCUCUGCUUUUGCGGGCAUGGGGACAAGGAGGUGGAGCUCGGGCGUCGUGGUUGUGGCUCGGGCGGUGAGGUCGCUAGGUGGAAGGAGGGGAAGGGAGACGAGCGAGAGGAGGAGGAUCGAGCGUCGGGCACGAGGGGAUCGAGCUGAGCUUUCCCUCGUGUGAUGUGUGUGCGGCGCUGCGGGAACUAGGAGUGGGGAUUCAGGGAGAUGGGGAUCGUGCAUGCCCCUUGGGCCGGCUAGGGUUAGGAGGGGCGACUGGGCCCUGGGAGGCUGGCCCAGUGGAGAGGAAAACAGCCAGGGGCCUGUUGGGCCGCUCUCUCCUACUCUCUCAUAUUUUUCUUUAACAGAAAACAAUGGAGAGAAGGGAAAGGAAGAUGGAGGGGUGUGAUGCCCCAAGACCGGAGCCGGCCAACUCCGGCUACCUCCUUUGCCUCGCACCCAGGGACUAGCGCGUGUGGUUGUUGACCAUGCUCGGGUCGGCCUCUACCCGUCCAGCGCGCGUGGCCGAGCUACCCUGCCUCGACAUACGACUACACGAUGAUGCACCAAGUUCCAUUUCAAAAAGUUCAAUUACAUCCGAUGAGGAUUUCGACAAGUACCACGACACCCGAAGUCCUCGGAUCCAUCAAGUUCCACUAUGAGAUGUACAACUACCGUCGACCUCGAAGACCUCGGAUUCACCAAGUUCCCACGAUGACAAGUGUGACCCUUCAGAUGCGCCAAGUUCGUCUACACAAAAACGCUAAGUACCCCUCAUGUCGGCAAGACCCGCAAGUCGGACCCAGAACGAUCGACGUCUCGUGGACCGUGUACAACUACCGUCGCCCCAAGGACAUUGGAUUCAUUAAGUACCGCUCCAAAAAUGAAACGUAUACCGCUACCAUCGCAAGAAUCGAGACCGACAAGUCCGAAUAUGCAAGUACCACUCCGGACCAUGUACGAAGACCGUCACCGAAGACCCGUGUAACGCGAAUGUCAAGUUCAACUACCGUCGCGAGAAACGCCUACUUCCCUCUAUGAACUCGUUCCGUCCGAAACGCAUGCUUCGAAGGUAUACCACCGAGACGACGCAUGUGGAUGAAUGCUUGCGAUGUAUGAGUUGGACCGUGUGUUGCUCCAUGUCCAAGUUGUUCCUUGCAUGAAGCCCUCUUUUGCCUAGCCACCAUCAUGUGGGAACCCAGAUCCGGGAGCACCCCAUCUUCUUGCAUGACACACUCGCACCCACUUCCUUUUGCACCGGUAUCCCCGUGAGCUACCGGAUCAUCGGAAUGUUGUCGCGGCAUCAUUUCCGUUUCGUCGCCGUGGCACCCCUUUCUUUCUACCACGGUGACACAAACGCUCUCAUCAUGCUCAUGUCAAAUUUUAAUAAAAAUUGCAUUAAAUUUGCACAUGUCAUCCGCAUCAUGUUAAUAACAUUUAAAAUGUUCAAAAUUGUUGUUUGCACGAAAUUGCUAAUGCAUAUGGGGUUUUACCGGAAUUGUUGUUUGAUGUUUCCGGCCCCAUUUAAAUUUCUUAGAUUGUGUAGUUUUCUUAUGCUUCACCCUCUUGCCAUGUUUAACAACAUUUAAUAUUGUUGAGUACCUAACCGAGAGUGAACUAAAUAAUUGAUGUGGUGUUUCGUCAAUAUGCACCCCGAUGCAUAUUGAGCUCCACUUAAAUUGUAGUAUUGUUUGUUGCACUUUGCCAUGCCAUGCCUCAUUAAAUCGGACAUGCAUCAUAUUUGGUUGUGCAUCAUCCCAUGUUUAUGUGAUGGUUGUUGACUUUGUUGUUUGCUUCUUUCCGGUGUUGCCUCUUUGGGCUAGUUUCGAUAAUGUCGCGUUUGUGAGGAUACGUUCGACUACGUCCGUUUGUCUUCUUCAUGGACUCUUUCUUCUUCCUUGCGGGAUCUUAGGCAAGAUGACCAUACCCUCGAAAUCACUUCUAUCUUUGCUUGCUAGUUGUUCGCUCUUUUGCUAUGCCGCGAUACCUACCACAUGCUUUAUCAUGCCUCCCAUAUUGCCAUGUCAAGCCUCUAACCCACCUUUUCCUAGCAAACCGUUGUUUGGCUAUGUUACCGCUUUGCUCAGCCCUCUUAUAGCGUUGCUAGUUGCAGGUGAAGAUGGAGUUUGUUCCUUGUUGGAACAUGAUUAUUGUUGGGAUAUCACAAUAUCUCUUAUUUAAUUAACGCACCUAUAUACUUGGUAAAGGGUGGAAGGCUUGGCCUUAUGCCUGGUGUUUUUUUCCACUCUUGCCGCCCUAGUUUCCGUCAUACCGGUGUUAUGUCCCUUGAUUUUGUGUUCCUUAUGCGGUUGGGUUAUAAUGGGAACCCCUUGACAGUUCGCCUUGAAUAAAACUCCUCCAGCAAGGACCAACCUUGGUUUUACCAUUUGCCACCUAAGCCUUUUUCCCUUGGGUUCUGCAGACUCAAGGGAUAUCUUUGUUUAAACCCCUGGGCCAGUGCUCCUCUGAGUGUUGGUCCAAACUAGAGCACCGUGCAGGGCCAUCCCUUGGCAACUUGGGUUACGUCGGCUCCUGUACGCUUAGCUUAUCCGGUGUGCCCUGAGAACGAGGUAUGUGCAGCUCCUAUUGGGAUUUGUCGGCACAGCGGGUGGUCUUGCUGGUCUUGUUUUACCAAUGUCGAAAUGUCUUGUAACCGGAAUUCUGAGUCUGAUCGGGUCGUCCUGGGAGAAUGAAUAUCCUUCGUUGACCGUGAGAGCUUGUGAUGGGCUAAGUUGGGACACCCCUGGAGGGAUUUGAACUUUCGAAAGUCGUGCCCGCGGUUAUGGGCAAAUGGGAAUUUGUUAAUGUCCGGUUGUAGAAAACUUGUCACUUAACUUAAUUAAAAUGCGUCAACCACGUGUGUAGCCGUGAUGGUCUCUUCUUGGCGGGGUCCGGGAAGUGAACACGGUGUUGGAGUUAUGCUUGAACGUAAGUACUUCCAGGAUCACUUCUUGCUCAUAGAUUCUCGAACCUGCCUUGCCUUCUCUUCUCGCUCUCAUUUGCGUAUGUUAGCCACCAUUUAUGCUAGUGCUUGCUGCAGCUCCACCUCACAUACCUUUUCCCUACCCAUAAGCUUAAAUAGUCUUGAUCUCGCGGGUGUGAGAUUGCGGAGUCCCCGUGACUCACAGUUUACUUCCAAAACCAGUUGCAGGUGUCGAUGAAACCAUGAAGGUGACGCAACCGAGCUCAAGGAGGACCUUGAUGAAGAUCAUGUUUGUUAUGUUGUUUCUGUUUCCAGUUGAUCAGUAGUGGAGCCCAGUUGGGGCGAUCGGGGAUCUGUAGCAUUAGGGGUAGUCUUCUUUUAUUUUGGUUUCGUAGUCGGACCUUGUUUGUAUCUGGAUGUUGUAAUGCUUUAUUCAUGUAUUAUGUGAAGUGGGGAUUGUAAGCCAACUCUGUACCUCUUUCUUAUUCAGUACAUGGGAUGUGUAAAGAUUACCCCUCUUGCGACACUGCCUUCAAUGCGGUUAUGCCUCUAAGUCAUGCUCCGACACGUGGGAGAUAUAGCCGCAUCGAGGGUGUUACAAGUUGGUAAUCAGAGCCUUCCCCGACUUAGGAUCCCCCUGCUUGAUCGAAUAACUGGCGUUAUUGAGUCUAGAAAAAUGUUUUGAGUCAUUUAGGAUUAUAUAUAUCAGAGAGUUGGAUUCUUUUUACUCCUCAGUCCCUUCGUCGCUCUGGUGAGGCAUCCUGACGUAGAGUUUUGACUCUUCUCUUCUCAAAUUUCACUACUUUUUUUUAGGAUCACGCGGGUAUCUUGGAAUCGUUCCGAUGGUUUUGUGACGAGAACAUUGUUGUUGGUGCCUCCUGACAUUUUGGGGUUGUGGCAGUGUCCCGGGGAGUUGAGCUCCGAGGUGUUGUCGUCACAAUUUUAUCGUUGCAGUUCUGGAAUACCUGAGUUUCGCCGACAUCGAAAAUCUCUUUUAUGCAUUUGUUGGUGAGAUAACCUCGAUGCCACCCAGUACUGGGGCGGGAGUUCGGGAGUAUUGCCAUAACUCGUAUAACGGAUGCUUUUUGAAGGUUGAGGUAAAUGAUUUCCGAAGGUUUCUUGGUUAUGUGUUGAAGGAUGGAUACAGCUGGAUGUAGGAUUUGUUAGUUUUGGGUGAGAUAUUAUGCUUCCCCUGUAUCCCCAACACCUGAUUGCAUAACCGGAAAGUUUCGGGAGUUUAUAUGUGGGAAUUCAAGUAGCUCUUAGGAUAUCUUUCCGACAGAUGCAUGAUAUGAGACUGGGGUUCGAUGUCUAGUGGUCCGCCCAUCCACGGUUGGUUUUAAAGUGGUCUCGUUGUGUCCUAAAGAGUCCUUGGCUAUGCCGACUCGGGGACACUUCGUAUGUCAUGUGCACGGACUUGUACAUGAUGGUGUUGUACGAUCGAGCCCGUGUGGGCCCCACCACGAAAAAUUCGGACGAAAUCUCUAUCAUAUGUUUGUUCCGGUUUGUUCUGCAAGACAAUCCUUUGUUUUAUUUUUCAGUUGUGGUAUUCGAGUUGCUUCGAAGUCAAAUGUUGAUUCCAUACUUUUCCUAAGCAGUGUUCUCAUAUUCCUAUGUGGUUACCAACCCUUCAUGUUAAUCGAGAUUGUCAUGUCAAUCCUUCUCAACCGGCGUAUUUCUCUUCAAGUGGAUCCAAUCUUUUUCAACAUCCGCAAGAUCAUCUCAGUUUUCUCAACGGUGUUUGUUUCAUCCGUCUCCAAGUUGUCUUUGUUUUCCCACCCUCCCACCCUUUCUCUUCAAGGACUCAGAUUUCUUAUUCAAAUAUCCUUUUAUUGAUGGGAAGCCUCUCCAUUCCUUUUCCGUCAAUGUUCUUAUCCGGUGAUUUUCAUGAAGAUCCUAAUGGAGCUUCAAGCUCAUCAUUCUUCAUUCUUUUCCUUCUACGGUGGAUUCAAUUCAAGCUUUUGAUGUUGAUUAUGUCCUUUAACUCGUUUCAGAUGUUUUCCAGGCCGGUGCACCUUAUUAUCAUUCACCUCCCACUAUUCAAUUGUCCUGGAGUGCUUAAGACAUCUAGAAGAUUCAUGUUUCCACUCUACAUUCGUUCAAGAUCUUUCGAGGAUGUUCCCUCAUUCAAGCCAUUUAAUUCAAUAGGCGCAAUCUAUCUUUAAAUCAUUCAAUGGUGUUUCUUUUGAGUGGGCCCUAACCCACAGGUUUUUUCCCAGGAUCUUACCAGACUCUUCAAUUUUCUCGGAGCUUCUCAAAUUCUUUUCCAAGUUUGACAUAAGAAUGAGUUAUCAGUCAAAUGCCUUCUCCAAGAUCUGUCACAUUCUUUUCAUCAUUAGUUCAACCUUUCUAUUUUUUUAUUCCGGAGUAUCUCAACAAUUCAUGGUGGUGUUUCUCAUCGUCAUUCUCAGAUUUGAAGACCGAAGAAGAUUUUCCUCUCAAUCUUGCUCCAUUCUCUUCAAAAUUCAUUGUUCUAGCCUAAUGCCAUCCUCUCAUAAUUGUUUUCGAUUGUGAGAAUUUUUUUCACCUAUCCGGAGCAAUUCAAGAUUCUUUUCAAUUUGAUUCUUCAAAGGCCAUCAUUUCGGGUUAUUCAUCCUCAGUUUUCAGCUAUUGUUCUCCAAAUCAUACUGGUGCAUCGAUCAAAUAUUCUCUAAUCAGCUCGUCAUCUCUUCGUUUCAGUUGUAUCUAAAUUCCCUCAAGUAUCUUCAUUCGUUCUCUAAUUCUUCCCGGUGUUUCGUUAUCUUUUCUUUGUUCGUAUCCAAUUCUUACGGUGGUUCAUUCAAGAUUCCUUUUCUCUUGGUAUCAUAUCAAUUUAUUCGUUCUUUCCAAUCUUACCGGUGGUUCGUUGAAGUCUUUUCUCUAGUUUUGAACUAUAUCUAUCUUAAUCCUUUUCAACGAGAAUAAGUAGUAUGUCAAAUCCGUUGCUUGUCAUCAAUCUAAAUUGGUGAAAGAUGUGCAUAACGUAAUUCUUAUUAUUGUUUUCAUCCAAGUGAUCUAAUUUCCUGCUUUCCAGAGUGGUUCAUCAUAUCACAUUCUCGGUUCGAGAAGCUUCAUCUUUUCUUUUUAGGAGUUGUUCAUGAUGAAUAAAUUCUUGUUUUUAGUUGUUCUUCUUUCUUUUCUCGGAGUUCCAAUCUCUCGCAAUUAUAUCACCAUGGAGAUCCAUCUAAAUCAUUGCAAGGAUUCACCUUGUGUUUUCAACUUCUCUUUCUUUUCGUUUGAUCAUUCUUUUACCGGAGUUCUUCAUGGAGGCGCUACAUGAUGGUUCAUAAAGGAUUUAAUUUCUUCUCGAAGUUUUCAUCAAGAGGAGCUCAAGCAUUCUUCAUCUUGCAAUCCGGAGUGCAAUUCUUUCUACCGUAUCAUUGGAGGUGGUAUUAUGUCAUUCUUGAUCAUUUGAGUUCAUGUUUCAUGAUUCACACGUUGUUAAGAAUGAGGUAUUUUAAAUCCAUCAACCUCUUUGUUGGAGGUAUCUUGUGUCAUGUUUCACCUAAAGCCUUCCCUAAGGAUUGUUGCUAUUUAUGGUGCUUAUAAAUGACCCAAGUUCUUCAUUUAUCCUCCCGGUGAAAUAAGUUUCUCGUCUCCUUGUUCAUAUCUAUCCAAUCUAUUGUUUCAGUUAGUGGUAGAAUUUCACCUCAUAGUUUUGAGAAGUUUUCCAUAAGCCCACAUCAAGCUUAUCCUUUCGUUGUUGUUAAUCCAACAACUCCGUUCUAGCAUUUGUUGUAAGCGUGCUCUCUCAAGAUCUUGUUUCUCUUCGUUCAUUCCAUUCCAUUCUUUCAUUUAUUCCGGAGGCUUAGUCAUGUUGCUCUCUUCACUCACCGUCUUAGAUUGUGGAGUUCAUGUUCUUUCCUUUGUUUAUCCAUUCAACCGGAGUGUCGUGUUUUCAUUCGAGCUCUCUCAUCUUAUCAAGUUUUACCUUCCUUUUCCAACCGGAGUUUGUCGUAUUUGCUCUUUAUCGUUCCUUGUACAUCUCGUCUCAAUCGGAGUCCUUGCUUGUAGUUCUUGUCCAUUGUAACCUUUUUCUUAUGUUUUCUAACCUACAAGGUUCUAGUAAUGUUCCUUGUUCCUCUGUUCCAACGGAGUGUUUUAAAUUUUAUUCAUCUUCGUUGGCUUCCUUCUUUCAAUUUGUUUAACCUCACAAGGUUCGCUCGUUUCACUCUUUUGUCAAAGAAGCAACUUAGUUUUACCUCUUCUCUUCAUCUUCCGUUUCCCUCCGGUGCCAUUCUAGAUCUCGGGACGAGAUCCUCUCGUAGUGGUGGAGUGUUGUGCGCCCCAAGACCGGAGCCAGCAAACUCCGGCUACCUCCUUUGCCUCGCACCCAGGGACGAGCGCAUGUGGUCAUUGACCAUGCUCGGGUUUGCCUCUACCCGUCCAGCGCGCGUGGCCAAGCUGCCCUGCCUCGACGUACGACUACACGAUGACGCACCAAGUUCCGUUUCAAAAUGUUCAAUUACAUCUGAUGAGGAUUUCGACAAGUAUCACGACGCCCGAAGUCCUCGGAUCUGUCAAGUUCCACUAUGAGAUGUACAACAACCGUCAACCUCGAAGACCUCGGAUUCACUAAGUUCCCAUGACGACAAGUGUGACCCUUCAGAUGCGCCAAGUUCAUCUACAUAAAAACGCCAAGUACCCCUCAUGUCGGCAAGACCCGCAAGUCGGACCCCGAACGAUCGACGUCUCAUGGACCGUGUACAACUACCGUCGCGCCGAGGACGUUGGAUUCGUUAAGUACCUCCGAAAACGAAAUGUAUACCGCUACCGUCGCAAGAAUUGAGACCGACAAGUUCGAAGAUGCAAGUACCACUCCGGACCAUGUACGACGACUGUCGCCGAAGACCCAUGUAACGCGAAUGUCAAGUUCAACUACCGUCGCGAGAAACGCCUACUUCCCUCUACGAAUCGUUCCGCCCGAAACGCAUGCUUCGAAGGUAUACCACCGAGACGACGCAUGUGGAUGAAUGCUUGCGAUGUACGAGUUGGACCGUGUGUUGCUCCGUGUCCGAGUUGUUCCUUGCACGAAGCCCCUCUUUUGCCUUGCCACCAUCAUGUGGGAACCCGGAAUUCGGGAGCACCCCAUCUGUUUGCAUGACACACUCGCACCCACUUCCUUUUGCACAGGUAUCCCCGUGAGCUACCGGAUCAUCGGAAUGUUGCCGCGACAUCAUUUCCGUUUCUUCGCCAUGGCACCCCUUUCUUUAUACCAAGGUGACACAAAUGCUCUCAUCACGCUCAUGUCAACUUUUAAUAAAAAUUGCAUUAAAUUUGCACAUGUCAUCUGCAUCAUGUUAAUAACAUUUAAAAUGUUCAAAAUUGUUGUUUGCACUAAAUUGCUAAUGCAUAUGGGGUUUUACCGGAAUUGUUGUUUGAUGUUUCCGGCCCCAUUUAAAUUGCUUAGAUUGUUUAGUUUUCUUAUGAUUCACCCUCUUGCCAUGUUUAACAACAUUUAAUAUUGUUGAGUACCUAACCGAGAGAGAACUAAAUAACUGAUGUGGUGUUUCGUCAAUAUGCAUCCCGAUGCAUAUUGAGCUCCACUUAAAAUAUAGUAUUGUUUGUUGCACUUUGCCAUGCCAUGCCUCAUUAAACCAGACAUGCAUCAUAUUUGGUUGUGCAUCAUGCCAUGUUUAUGUGAUGGUUGUUUACUUUGUUGGUUGCUUCUUUCCGGUGUUGCCUCUUCGGGCUAGUUCCGAUAACGUCGCGUUUGUGAGGAUCUGUUCGACUAUAUCCAUUUGUCUUCUUGAUGGACUUGUUCUUCUUCCUUGCGCGAUCUCAGGUAAGAUGACCAUACCCUCGAAAUCACUUCUAUCUUUGCUUUCUAGUUGUUCGCUCUUUUGCUAUGCCGUGAUACCUACCACAUGCUUUAUCAUGCCUCCCAUAUUGCCAUGUCAAGCCUCUAACCCACCUUGUCCUAGAAAACCGUUGUUUGGCUAUGUUACCGCUUUGCUCAGCCCCUCUUAUAGCGUUGCUAGUUGCAGGUGAAGAUGGAGUUUCUUCCUUGUUGGAACAUGAUUAUUGUUGGGAUAUCACAAUAUCUCUUAUUUAAUUAACGCACGUAUAUACUUGGUAAAGGGUGGAAGGCUCAGCCUUAUGCCUGGUGUUUUGUUCCACUCUUGCCACCCUAGUUUCCGUCAUACCGGUGUUAUGUUCCUUGAUUUUGCGUUCCUUACGUGGUUGGGUUAUAAUGGGAACCCCUUGACAGUUCACCUUGAAUAAAACUCCUCCAGCAAGGCCCAACCUUGGUUUUACCAUUUGCCACCUAAGCCAUUUUCCCUUGGGUUCUGCAGACUCAAGGGUCAUCUUUAUUUAACCCCCCGGGCCAGUGCUGCUCUGAGUGUUGUUCCAAACUAGAGCACCAUGCAGGGCCAUACCUUGGCAACUUGGGUUACGUCGGCUCUUGUACGCUUAGCUUAUCCGGUGUGCCCUGAGAACGAGAUAUGUGCAGCUCCUAUCGGGAUUUGUCGGCACGGCAGGUGGUCUUGCUGGUCUUGUUUUACCAUUGUCGAAAUGUCCUGUAACCGGGAUUCCGAGUCUGAUCGGGUCAUCCUGGGAGAAGGAAUAUCCUUCGUUGACCAUGAGAGCUUGUGAUGGGUUAAGUUGGGACACCUCUGCAGGGAUUUGAACUUUCGAAAGCCGUGCCCGCGGUUAUGGGCAGAUGGGAAUUUGUUAAUGUCCGAUUGUAGAAAACUUGUCACUUAACUUUAUUAAAAUGCAUCAACCGCAUGUGUAGCCAUGAUGGUCUCUUCUCGGCGGGGUCCGGGAAGUGAACACGGUGUUAGAGUUAUGCUUGAACGUAAGUAGUUUCAGGAUCACUUCUUGAUCAUAGAUUCUCGAACGUGGCUUGCCUUUUCUUCACGCUCUCAUUUGUGUAUGUUAGCCAACAUUUAUGCUAGUGCUUGCUGCAGCUCCACCGCACAUACCUUUUCCCUAUCCAUAAGCUUAAAUAGUCUUGAUAUCGCGGGUGUGAGAUUGCUGAGUCCCCGUGACUCGCAGUUUACUUUCAAAACCAGUUGCAGGGGUCGAUGAAACCAUGCAGGUGACGCAACCGAGCUCAAGGAGGACCUUAAUGAAGAUCAUGUUUGUUAUGUUGUUUCCGUUUCCAGUUGAUCAGUAGUGGAGCCCAGUUGGGGCGAUCAGGGAUCUGUAGCAUUAGGGAUAGUCUUCUUUUAUUUUGGUUUCAUAGUCGGACCUUGUUUGUAUCUGGAUGUUGUAAUGCUUUAUCCAUGUAUUGUGUGAAGUGGCGAUUGUAAGCCAACUCUGUACCUCUUUCUUAUUCAGUACAUGGGAUGUGUAAAAAUUACCCCUCUUGCGACACUGCCUUCAAUGCGGUUAGGCCUCUAAGUCGUGCUCCGACACGUGGGAGAUAUAGCCGCAUCGAGGGUGUUACAAGGGGUUAGGAAAAGAAUUUGUCCACGGGGGUAAUUUUUCUGGACUCACAAAAAUAUGAGGAAUUUGAAACUAGCAGCUCUCCUUGCUCCUUUGGCCCAGAGCUCCUUGCUAUAGAGGAUGGCUAAAACUCAGAUGUGGAGCUCCCUGCACAUGACAUACUGUGUCAAUGCUUGCAGCAACAGAAAAAAAUCACAUACCAUAGAACUUGCACAGUAAUGUAUCAACCACCAAACAGUAUGAAGCAAAUACAAACAAGAGGGGGAGGAGUUUAUACCUAAUCUUCUUGAGCCCCUCCUUAAGAAAAAGCAUCAUCCAAGGUAAUCAUCUAAACAAGAACACUCCUUAAGAUUCUGGAAAUGCACCAACAUAGUAGUAGUGAAGCUAUGCGAGGAUCUUUGUGAAGCAGUUUAUCACUUCUUGGAGACACCAACAGUCUUUCCUCUCCUGCCCCAGUAGUGAUGCAGACCACGAUGGUUCCUGGGAAAGAGAGCAAGGUUUCAAGCAUAAGUGAUCACUCAUACAUCUAUGCACUAAGGGAAAAUGCUACUGCUGCAAUAGUGAAGUUUUAAGGAAUCAGCCAUCAGGCAUCAGCAUACAUCUAUUGGAAACAGAGCAUUGAUAUAUAGAUCAGCUGGGUCACAUACAAGGUACACUAGAAAGGUAUAAAUGAAUACAUUGACAAUCAUCUAUACCAGAUUGCAAGACAUAACAAUUAUGUACCUAAGAAAGUCGACAAUGGCAUAUGGCAGGAUAUGAAAUCUGGAUACAAGUAAUAGACAAACUAGUUCCAACAGAUUGACUGAAUUGAACUGCUAUAUAACCAAGUUAGAGCUGGCAGAAGUUGUAGGUAAAUAAACAUCCAUAGAGCUAACAGUAGCAAAAGAUGACUUCGGUCUCUGCUUGGCUAAUGAAUCAGUACAUCUUCAAGUGAAAAAUCAUGAAGAUCACACUACGAUGUCCCUAACAAUAGUAGAAGCUCAGAGGUGUGACAAUAUUUCGUAAUAUACAAGCCUUAGCUACAACUUUGUACUUAACAUGCAAAUAAGAAUCAACCACUUAUUGCUUAUUUCAUGCUUCAAAUUUUAUUUUCAGUUUUGUUAGGAUAAUUUGUAUGCAUAGGUACAGUCCUAUACUUGUUUGGGAAGUCAAGAUAUUCAUGUCAACAAUUAUAUAGAGCCAAACAAUAAUUUAAGCAUAGAAUGCAUGUCAUUUCUAUAUAUAACUAAAGCAUAUUCAGCAAGCUACCGAAGCCAACAACUAUGAUUACUUAAGUAGGAAAAUAGUCAUCAUAAGCCUAUAUUUCUUCAGGUUGGGCUCAUGCACCAUGA